ensembl:lncRNA novel transcript
CUGUACUAUUCACUGUCUUCAACAAAAGUCAGCUAUUCCAGGAAACUCUCGUCCAGAAAGAUAAAAAUUGAGAAUGAGACAUCAAUCAAUAUGCGGAAGAUUUACAUGGUUCGGUCUGGAAGGGUGGGACAAUUCGAAGGGUGAGGAGAGAAGAGGAGCUUCCGGGUCAUAGGUGGUCAGGAAGAAGUCAAAUCUUCUAGAGGAGGUAGGUCACUCCUGCCCCUUAACGCCUCAGUCCAGCUCUCCUCUAGGACCUCAGAGACUCCACUUCGCCCAUUUGCCAGUCAGUUCUUGCACUUUUCCACGGUGGAAAAUAUUCUUAUAUUGCUGCCAGUGCAGAAUCAACCACUGACCUACCAGAAUCCACCAUGGACCUGGAGUCACCCACAGAUGUGUACCUGGAGAACACCCAGGCUUUCCAAAAUGAAGCAAAUUCUCCAUUAGCUGUGAUGAUCACUGCUAUCCACUACUUUCUAAGAAGAUUCUAUGCUUUUGAGCAUGCCUACCACUACACUAUAGGAGA